rnacentral:rRNA from 1 species
GAAGAAAAACAAACACGAAGCUUCGUUCCUCUCUUUUUAGGUGAGCUACUUCAUUCCUCAAAAAAGUGUUCACUUCUUUUUUGCCAGGUUUCAUUCAAUUUGCUGUAGAUUGGAUGAUGGAAAAAACAGCAAGCUACGGCUUCAAAGCUUACCUUAUUUAGAAAAAAAGAAAGGGCUUUUUUAUAGAUGUUGAGGUUGAGUAAUGGGGGCGGAGCUUGAAGAGCAAAGCGAGCCACGCUAGCCUAGCAACGUUUUUCAGCAACAAGCUAUGGUCUAAAAAACCCCUAACCUAGGUUGGGGCGAAAACUCGAAAAUCCAAAAUGUUAGUUAGGGUUCAUCUCCUUUUAGGUGGUUAGUUAGGGUUCCUCUCCUUUUAGGUGAGCUACUUCAUUCAAAACCUUUCUCUAAUAAUAAGGUAAGCUUUCAAGACAUCACCCUUUAAAGGAGUGGGCGCAGUGAACUGUAAUUGUGAAAAGAUUGGAAGAUCUGGCCAAAGAGGUAAUAGCCUUAUAGAUUCGUUCCCAUGGUUCGAUCCUUCCCAGUAAAAUGUAGCGCAUUCGAAUUCUGAUCACUUUUAUGCGAGAAAGGGGGACAACCCUCUAAGCCUAAGUAUUUCUCAAUGGUCGAUAGCAUACAAGUACCAUAAGGGAAAGGUGAAAAAAACCCUAUUUAGGGAGUGCAAUAGAGAACCUGAGAUCCGAUGCGAACAAUCAGUCGAAGGAUCAGAUCUUAGAGCCUUUACUUUAUGUAAAGCACACUCAAUCUAACGGCGUACCUUUUGCAUGAUGGGUUAGUGAGGAAAUGGGAACAGCGGCUUAAACUAUUAGGUGUGGGCGCUUUCCAGAGGUAGAAUCUUCUAGUUCUUUCUAUUUAACCCGAAACUAAUCGAUCUAGCCAUGAUCAGGUUGAAGAGAGCUCUAACAGGCCUUGGAGGACCGAACCCACAUAUGUGGCAAAAUACGGGGAUGACUUGUGGCUAUGGGUAAAAGGCCAAACAAGAUCGAAUAUAGCUGGUUUUCCAUGAAAUCUAUUUCAGUUGAGCAUAUGAUAUCGAUGGCCUGAGGUAAAGUACUCAAUGGGCUAGGGUGGCCUCAUUUCGCCUUACCAACCCCAGAGAAACUCUGAAUACAGGCCUAGAUCAUUUGUACAGACAGACUUUUUAGGUGCUAAGAUCCAAAGUCGAGAGGGAAAUAUCCCAUAUCAUACCCUAAGGUCCCAAGCAAUCACUUAGUGGAAAAGAAAGUGAUCGAGCAAUGACAACCGGGAGGUGGUCUUGGAAGCAGCCAUUCUUUGAAGAAAGCAUAAUAGCUCACUGGUCUAGCUCCAGGGCACCAAAAAUAUAUCAGGGCUCAAGUGAUUCACCUAAGCGACGAGACCUUGAAAGCUGCUUUUUCAAGUGUCAAUAGCAGAAUGUUCUGUCAAUUGGGGAAGGUUUUUGGUGACAAGACCUGGAGAUAUCAGAAGUGAGAAUGUUGACUAGAGUAAUGAAAAAUCCUGUGAAAAACAUGAUCGCCUGCCAGUGGAAGGUUUUCUGUGUUUAGCCAAUCUACACAGAGUGAAUCGAUCCCUAAAAAAACCCUAAAAGGGCCUAGUCCGAUAGGUACACGAAAGUGACAAAGUUGCUUUGACUACAGAACCAUGCCUGUCUGUUGGAGUGAAUUGGAUGAUCGGGCUGAGGGCUGCCCCUUCUUUCCCUCACUUCCUUUCUCUAAUAUAAACCUUGAGUCAUCAAAGCCUUUCUGACUCGGCCUGGCCCGGUUGCCCUACGUGACUGGUGCUUCAAAAGGUGAAACUCUCGAUCGUAGUUUGGCGACCUAUCUUUAUUAGGGGCCUUUAGUCUUUUGAUUAGAGUAGGGGUCGUGAGAGAACAGAGCAUACCGCCCUGCCAUAGUCAUGAGUCUAUUUAUAGUCACGACUGUUGUCAUAGUCAACAAGGUUGAAACUUCUAGGAAAAAACUUCAAAAUGGGAGGGCGAUCCUCCCGGUGAACUGACCGUACCCCAAACUGACACAGGUGAACAAGUAGAGUAUACUAGGGCGCUUGAGAGAACCAUGUCGAAGGAACUCGGUAAAAUAACCCCGUAACUUCGUAAGAAGGGGUGCUCUCCUAUCUUUUGAUUAGGAAAGCGGCACAUACCAGGGGGCAGCGACUGAUUAUUAAAAACACAGGACUCUACUAAGUGGUAACACGAUGUAUAGAGUCUGACACCUUCCCAGUGCUGGAAGGUCGGAAGGAGAAGUGUUAUAAGCUUUGAAUGGAAGCCCCGAUAAAUGGCGGCAGUAACUCUAACUGUCUUAAGGUAGCAAAAUUCCUUGUCACAUAAGUAGUGACCUGCACGAAUGGUGUAACGACUACCCCGCUAUCUCCGACAUGGACCCGAUGAAAUUAAAUUCUCUGUGAAGAUGCGGAGUACCAAUGGCUAGACGGUAAGACCCCGUGCACCUUAAUUAUAGCUUCGCAGUGACAACCUUAAUCGAAUGUGUAGGAUAGGUGGGAGGUGGUGACACACAAUGACCAAUCCUGAAAGAAAACUCUUUCGUCUAAGGAUGCCUAACCGCCACACCGAUCAUUUGGGGGAAGGCGAGACACUACGAGGUGGGUAGUUUAUCUGGGGCGGAUACCUACUAAAGAGUAACGAAGGUGUGCGAAGGUAGGCUCAAGCUAAGAUUUUGCUCGUGAGCGUAAUGGUAUAAGCCUACCUGACUGUGAAACCGACUGGUCAAACAGAGAUAAAAGUUGCCUANUGUGGAAGGGCUCUCGCUCAACGGAUCAAAGGUAUGCCGGGAAUAACAGGCUGAUGACUCCCAAGAGCUCUUAUCAACGAAGUCGUUUGGCACCUCGAUGUUGACUCAUCAUAUUCUGGGGUUGAAAAAGGUCCCAAAGGUUUGGUUGUUCACCGAUUCAAGUGGUAUGUGAGUUGGGUUUAGAAUGUCAUGAGACAGUUUAGUUCCUAUCUACCGUUGGUGUUAAAGAGAGAACUGCGAGAAGCUAACCCUAGUACGAGAGGACUGGGUUGGGCUAACCUAUGGUGUACCAGUUAUUAUGCCAAUAGCAGCGCUGGGCAGCUAAGUUGUUAUGGAAGAACUGCUGCGCCGUGGGAAAUCCUUCUCUAUACAAGUUCUCAGAUGAGGUUUUUGAAUAGAACUUUGAUAGGCGAGAGGUGUAAGCACCGCGAGGUGUGAAGCGAUCUCGUACUAAAUGAAACGACUUUCACUU